rfam:Salmo salar isolate Sally breed double haploid chromosome ssa01, whole genome shotgun sequence.
UCCCGUGUGGCUCAGUUGGUAGAGCAUGGCUCUUGCAACACCAGGGUUGUGGGUUUGUUUCCCACGGGGGAA